rnacentral:rRNA from 1 species
AUUGAACGCUGGCGGCAGGCCUAACACAUGCAAGUCGAGCGAGCGGCGGACGGGUGAGUAAUGUCUGGGAAACUGCCUGAUGGAGGGGGAUAACUACUGGAAACGGUAGCUAAUACCGCAUACCAUCAGAUGUGCCCAGAUGGGAUUAGCUAGUAGGUGGGGUAACGGCUAAGCUAGGCGACGAUCCCUAGCUGGGUUGAGAGGCUGACCAGCCACACUGGAACUGAGACACGGUCCAGACUCCUACGGGAGGCAGCAGUAGGGAAUAUUGCACAAUGGGCGAAAGCCUGAUGCAGCCAUGCCGCGUGUGUGAAGAAGGCCUUCGGGUUGUAAAGCACUGUCAGUGGGGAGGCGUUACCCGCAGAAGAAGCAACGGCUAACUCCGUGCCAGCAGCCGCGGUAAUUC